UUCCCAAUUUUUUUUUUUUUUUUUUUGAGACGGAGUCUCGCUCUGCUGCCCAGGCUGGAGCACGGUGGUGCAAUCUCGGCUCACUGCAACCUCCGCCUCCCGGGUUCAAGUGCUUCUCCUGCCUCAGCCUCCCAAAUAGCUGGGAUUACAGGCAUGCAUCACCACGCCCGGCUAAUUUUGUAUUUUUAGUAGAGACGGGGUUUCUCCAUGUUGGUCAGGCUGGUCUCGAACUCCUGACCUCAGGUGAUCCGCCAGCCUCAGUCUCCCAAAGUGCUGGGAUUACAGGCAUGAGUCACCGCGCC
rnacentral:lncRNA from 1 species